AGUGCUGGGCUAAAAGUCAUGUAUGACC
rnacentral:piRNA from 1 species